CACAUGCAAGUCGAGGGGUAACAGUCCCGCUUCGGCGGGAGCUGACGACCGGCGCACGGGUGAGUAACGCGUAUGCAACUUUCCUGUAACUGGAGGAGAGCCCCUGGAAACGGGGAUUAAUACUGCGUAAUACCUAAAUACCGCAUGGUAUUAAGGUCAAAUCUACGGAGGUUACAGAUGGGCAUGCGUGCCAUUAGCUAGAUGGUAAGGUAACGGCUUACCAUGGCAAUGAUGGCUAGGGGUUCUGCAAGGAAGGCCCCCCACACUGGUACUGAGACACGGACCAGACUCCUACGGGAGGCAGCAGUGAGGAAUAUUGGUCAAUGGAGGCAACUCUGAACCAGCCAAGCCGCGUGAAGGAAGACUGUCCUAUGGAUUGUAAACUUCUUUUGUGGCAGAAUAAACUACCGUACUUGUACGGUAUUGCAUGUAUGCCAUGAAUAAGCAUCGGCUAACUCCGUGCCAGCAGCCGCGGUAAUACGGAGGAUGCAGGCGUUAUCCGGAUUUAUUAGGUUUAAAGGGUGUUCAGGCUGCCUGGUAAGUCAGGGGUGAAAGUCGGUUGCUCAACGAUCGAGUUGCCUUUGACACUGUCAGGCUCGAGUAUGGAUGCGGUAGGCGGAAUGUGUAGUGUAGCGGUGAAAUGCCUCGAUGUUGCGCGGAACGCCGAUUGCGAAGGCAGCUUACCGAGGCCAGCGCUGACGCUGAGGCGCGAGCGCGUGGGGAGCGA
rnacentral:rRNA from 1 species